rnacentral:sRNA from 1 species
UGGUUUCGCGACGGCCCACCUCCUCCCGGGCCCGAGCGGAUAGUGGCCUGCGCAUCCUCCUCCCAGCGCAGGUACAGUAGCGACGCCCGUCAGGUCCUCCCCCUGACGGGCGUUUUCG